UACAGAGGUCUCGAGCGUUAGGCGGAAUCACUGGGCUUAAAGCGUGUGUAGGCGGAUCGUUAAGUACCUUGUGAAAUCCCACGGCUUAACCGUGGAACUGCUUGGCAUACUGGCGGUCUUGAGCCAGCUAGGGGCUACCGGAACAAAUGGUGGAGCGGUGAAAUGCGUAGAUAUCAUUUGGAACGCCAAUGGUGAAAACAGGUAGCUGGGGCUGUGCUGACGCUGAGACACGGAAAGCCAGGGGAGCAAACGGG
rnacentral:rRNA from 1 species